rnacentral:rRNA from 1 species
GAUGAACGCUGGCGGCGUGCCUAAUACAUGCAAGUCGAGCGAACAGACGAGGAGCUUGCUCCUCUGACGCUAGCGGCGGACGGGUGAGUAACACGUGGAUAACCUACCUAUAAGACUGGGAUAACUUCGGGAAACCGGAGCUAAUACCGGAUAAUAUAUUGAACCGCAUGGUUCAAUAGUGAAAGACGGUUUUGCUGUCACUUAUAGAUGGAUCCGCGCCGCAUUAGCUAGUUGGUAAGGUAACGGCUUACCAAGGCAACGAUGCGUAGCCGACCUGAGAGGGUGAUCGGCCACACUGGAACUGAGACACGGUCCAGACUCCUACGGGAGGCAGCAGUAGGGAAUCUUCCGCAAUGGGCGAAAGCCUGACGGAGCAACGCCGCGUGAGUGAUGAAGGUCUUCGGAUCGUAAAACUCUGUUAUUAGGGAAGAACAAAUGUGAAAGUAACUAUGCACGUCUUGACGGUACCUAAUCAGAAAGCCACGGCUAACUACGUG